rnacentral:rRNA from 1 species
ACUGGGGGCACCCUGUUCCGCAAUGCCGCGUGAGCGAAGAAGGCCUUCGGGCCGUAAAGCACUCUUGUCAGGGAAGAAACACCGGCUCUAACACAGUCCGGGAAUGACGGUACCUGAAGAAUAAGCACCGGCUAACUACGUGCCAGCAGCCGCGGUAAUACGUAGGGUGCGAGCGUUAAUCGGAAUCACUGGGCGUAAAGCGUGCGCAGGCGGUUAUACAAGACAGGCGUGAAAUCCCCGGGCUUAACCUGGGAAUGGCGCCUGUGACUGUAUAGCUAGAGUGUGUCAGAGGGGGGUAGAAUUCCACGUGUAGCAGUGAAAUGCGUAGAUAUGUGGAGGAAUACCAAUGGCGAAGGCAGCCCCCUGGGAUAACACUGACGCUCAUGCACGAAA